CACCCAGCAGCUGCCAAAGACGCAGCGCCGG
rnacentral:misc_RNA from 1 species